rnacentral:rRNA from 1 species
AUUGAACGCUGGCGGCGUGCUUAACACAUGCAAGUCGAGCGGCAGCGGGCCCGCAAGGGUGCCGGCGAGCGGCGGACGGGUGAGCAAUACAUAGGAAUCUGCCUCAGAGCGGGGGAUAGCCAGGGGAAACCCUGAUUAAUACCGCAUGACGUCGAGAGACCAAAGUGGGGGAUCGUAAGACCUCACACUCUGAGAUGAGCCUAUGUCGGAUUAGCUAGUUGGCGGGGUAACGGCCCACCAAGGCGACGAUCCGUAGCUGGUCUGAGAGGACGAUCAGCCACACCGGAACUGAGACACGGUCCGGACUCCUACGGGAGGCAGCAGGUGGGGAAUAUUGGACAAUGGGCGAAAGCCUGAUCCAGCGACGCCGCGUGGG